CACGUAGGGCGCAAGCGUUGUCCGGAAUUAUUGGGCGUAAAGAGCUCGUAGGCGGUCUGUUGCGUCCGCUGUGAAAACUCGGGGCUUAACCCCGAGCCUGCAGUGGAUACGGGCAGACUAGAGGUAGGUAGGGGAGAAUGGAAUUCCCGGUGUAGCGGUGAAAUGCGCAGAUAUCGGGAGGAACACCGGUGGCGAAGGCGGUUCUCUGGGCCUUACCUGACGCUGAGGUGCGAGAGCGUGGGGAGCGAACCGG
rnacentral:rRNA from 1 species